GACGAACGCUGGCGGCGUGCUUAACACAUGCAAGUCGUACGGUAAGGCCCUUUCGGGGGUACACGAGUGGCGAACGGGCGAGUAACACGUGAGUAACCUGCCCACAACUUUGGGAUAACGCUAGGAAACUGGUGCUAAUACUGGAUAUGUGCUCCUGCUGCAUGGUGGGGGUUGGAAAGCUCCGGCGGUUGUGGAUGGACUCGCGGCCUAUCAGCUUGUUGGUGGGGUAGUGGCCUACCAAGGCGGCGACGGGUAGCCGGCCUGAGAGGGUGACCGGCCACAUUGGGACUGAGAUACGGCCCAGACUCCUACGGGAGGCAGCAGUGGGGAAUAUUGCACAAUGGGCGCAAGCCUGAUGCAGCAACGCCGCGUGCGGGAUGACGGCCUUCGGGUUGGAAACCGCUUUCAGCAGGGACGAAGCUUUUUGUGACGGUACCUGCAGAAGAAGCACCGGCUAACUACGUG
rnacentral:rRNA from 1 species